rnacentral:rRNA from 1 species
UACGAAGGGGGCUAGCGUUGUUCGGAUUUACUGGGCGUAAAGCGCACGUAGGCGGAUCGAUCAGUCAGGGGUGAAAUCCCAGAGCUCAACUCUGGAACUGCCUUUGAUACUGUCGAUCUGGAGUAUGGAAGAGGUGAGUGGAAUUCCGAGUGUAGAGGUGAAAUUCGUAGAUAUUCGGAGGAACACCAGUGGCGAAGGCGGCUCACUGGUCCAUUACUGACGCUGAGGUGCGAAAGCUAGGGGAGCAAACAGG